ensembl:lincRNA
GCUCCGGGUCUGCGCCCGGGCCCCACGCUCCGCCCCCACCUCCCUCCCGAGGCGAGGUCCCACUGUCGCGAGUAUUUUCACAGCGCACUUGUCGCUGUUACUCCCCAAGAGGAAACAGCAGCUCCGACGCAGAAAUUCGUGGAAAUCAGGCGUCCACAGGGCCACCCUUCUAUCUUUAGGACCCCGGCGGGCCUCGGAGCCGGGGCCCUUCGAGGCCGGAAGUUCUCGCUUCUAGAACUGCAAGCCGCGGGAGCCCCGGAAGCUGUAGUGAUGGCAAGUAGGCGGCAGAGGGCGGUGUUUCGUGAGGGGAGAAGCGGGAUCUGGGAUUGCCAGGCCCACAGGUUAAAAUACCUGGGGACCCGAAACCAAGAUACCAAGACGCUCCAACUCAGCCCCCACCCGACGUCCGUGACUACCUUCAUUGGCGCUGUUCUCACAGCCAGCACCGAUCUACCUAUCUUCAGGCCUACAAUGGAUAUUGGCCCUAACAACAAUUCCAAUAAAAAUGCUGCUGCUGUCAACAAUUCCACGUUCAUAAAGGACAACUCAGCCAGCCAACUUCCACGCCUGCCCUUAGGUCGACUCGUCGCCCCAAACUGAGCAUUCCUCCUGCCUUCCAAUCUUUAUCACCAUUCUCCAGAAGUUGGAUGAUAAGAACAAAGAAGCACCCAAUCAAAUAUCCAACAAAUGUUUAUCAUCUUCUUUUCCAUGUAUUUAUUAUUUUUAUCUUUCCCAUUCCUGCACAAUGAAUAAAAGCAUUUUCAGGGGCAUUAGAUCUUUCAUAUUUUAUUUAGCAAACAUUUGGUGCCUACUAUGUGUAAAACACUAGUGGAAGGGAAUAAGUGUUGAUGGGGAACAUGAAAAUGCUAUAAUUACUGCCCUCGAGGGACUACAUUCAGGUGGACAGGGGGGUGGUGACUUAUGAAUCAGAAGAGAAUACACAAGAAAAAGAAGAAAUUCCAAGUGUUGAGCAAGUACAGGCCAAUGAUACUUUGGUAUCUACCCAUUUAAUACAUUUAUUCCUACUGUGUGAGGAUACAAGGAAAAGUUGUCAGUUUGCAACUGGAAGAGAGUCUUUAGUAUAAAUCCUGACUGUACUGGCACCCUGAUCUAGGACCUCCAGCCUCUGGAACUGUCAGAAAUAAAUUUCUGUUUUUAACAUCCACCCAAUCUAUGAUGUCUUGUUAGUGUAGCCUAAACUAAUGAAAUCACAUGGAAUAUCACUGGUUUGAUUGAUUACCUGUCCUUUACUUCUCUUAUUAGUUCCUCCUGCCUUCCAAUCUUUAUCACCAUUCUCCAGAAGUUGGAUGAUAAGAACAAAGAAGCACCCAAUCAAAUAUCCAACAAAUGUUUAUCAUCUUCUUUUCCAUGUAUUUAUUAUUUUUAUCUUUCCCAUUCCUGCACAAUGAAUAAAAGCAUUUUCAGGGGCAUUAGAUCUUUCAUAUUUUAUUUAGCAAACAUUUGGUGCCUACUAUGUGUAAAACACUAGUGGAAGGGAAUAAGUGUUGAUGGGGAACAUGAAAAUGCUAUAAUUACUGCCCUCGAGGGACUACAUUCAGGUGGACAGGGGGGUGGUGACUUAUGAAUCAGAAGAGAAUACACAAGAAAAAGAAGAAAUUCCAAGUGUUGAGCAAGUACAGGCCAAUGAUACUUUGGUAUCUACCCAUUUAAUACAUUUUAGUUGCCGUGUUGAGAGUAAUUAGCUAAAAAAAUUUGUGUUUGGAAUACUUCUGAUUUUAAUUAAGAAUUAUUUUCUUGAACAAAAUUACUGCAAGUUGGAUAGAGUAAAUUCUUAGCAAAAAGAGAAACUAGACAGACUAAAAAAAAUUUCAUUGUAGAAAUCAGCAUGUGAAAAGGUAACCUAAGAC